rnacentral:lncRNA from 1 species
UGUAGACUAAAGUCUCUCUGCUCGGAUCCAUUUUAGGUUCCAAGGAUUUGGGCUCCAUGGCCUCAACUUCAUCCGCCACAGGGUUUGGGUUUAGGUUCGGCUUGCCGAGCUCCAUUGCUCGGUCUUUCGACCAUCAGUACAGCGAUUUUUAUGCUUAGGGGAUUUGGGCUCGGAGGGUCUUUCCGAGCCUAGACUAGAAUUCAACCGAGCCCUAAGGCGGUCAC